rnacentral:lncRNA from 1 species
UAAUCUCAUCCCUAUUUUAUUUUUAAAUAUAAAUAUAAAAUUUUAAUUUUUAAAUUUUAAAUUUUAAAAUUUUUAAAUUAAUAUUUUAUUUUUAAGAAUUUAAAAUUUAAAUUUAUUAUUUUUAAUUAUAUAAAUUUUAAAUUUGAUAUUUUAUAUUUGUAACUUUAAGUUUUUAAAUUUGAGAUUUAAAAAUAUAUAUUUUAAUUUUAAAUUUUAAUAUUUAAAUUUUAAAUUAUUAUUUUAAAUUAUUUAAAUUUUAAAUUUAAAUUCAAAUAUAAUAAUUAGGGCAAUAUUAUUAUUUUUUAUUUAUAACUAUCCACUAUCCUUCUUACUCUACUUACUCUAAUCAAAUACUAUUUUAUUUAUAUCUGGACUAUACCCAAUUCUUAACCAAACACAAAAUUACUCUAGUCCAACCUUAAUCCUGAACUUAAUCUUAUUUUCUGAAAUAACUAGUUCUUACUUAAUCCCGAACCAAACAAAGCCUUAAAGAGUUUGAUGGGCAAAUACAAAGAGCGGAGCUACUGCCUUAAUUGAGCCAUUGGUCCCUAACCUUUACUCUAUUUUCACUUUGGCGCCUAAUCUUUUCUCUCUUUUUUUUCUAGCCGCAAUUGCUUAUAUACUCACGAAAAAAAUUUUCGGCUUUUUUUUUUAUUCUUCUUAGAAGGUUAAUAUUAAUGUUUCAAAUUAUUUUAAAUACAUUUUUAGAGAUAAAUUCUAUUAGCGAACGAUUAGGAACAUUUGUUUCUUUAUGAAAUUUCUAUUUUGCUCUUUUAACAUUCUACUAUCACCAAUUUUUCUGAUUCAUCCUUAAGUUAAUGGCAAAAGUGGUAUAUUGAUUUUUUUUAACUCUGGCAGAAAUUUAACUCUGAUUUUACCCGAGAUAACUUAACGGGUAUAAACAGUAGAAUUAUUUUUAUAUAAGGAAAAAAAAUAUGAUGGAUAUAUUUGAAACCAAAAAAAAAAGUAUGUAAGAUAUUUUAGAAAUUUUAAAGAGUAUAUUAGAUAUUACCCCUUUUUUCCUAUUAGUUUCUAAUAUUUAUAUUUUAUUUUUGUUUUAUCCUAAGCAUCUAAAUUUUUCUUAAUUUUGAUGGAUAGGCCACGCCAACUCCACUAAGAUCUUAUUUACUCAUAUAGAUCAUGAUCAUGAUCCGAUAACUCUGGAUCACUUUUGAUACUGACUUUUUAAGUCUCUAAAAAUAUUUAAUUACAUGUUCUGCUCGACGCCAAGAAUGUCAAAUGCUCCAAAAGAGGUCGUAGAUAUUGUGUGCGAGAUCAAGAUGAUCGUCAGCACAGAGCAU